rnacentral:rRNA from 1 species
CCUACGGGAGGCAGCAGUGGGGAAUAUUGGGCAAUGGGCGCAAGCCUGACCCAGCAACGUAGCGUGAAGGAUGACGGCCCUAGGGUUGGUAACUUCUUUUGUUAGGGAAGUGUAGCGGCUGGUACCUGACGAAUUAGAUACGGCUAACUAAGUGCCAGCAGCUGCGGUAAUACGUAGGUGGCCAGUGUUGUCCGGAUUUACUGGGUUUAACGGGAGUGUAGCCGGGUUGACAAGUCAGCUGUGAAAUGCUGCGGCUUAACCGCAGAACUGCAUUUGAAACUGUUGAUCUUGAGUACUCGGAAGGCAGACGGAAUUCCUAGUGUAGCGGUGAAAUGCUUAGAUAUUAGGAGGAACACCGGUGGCGAAGGCAGUCUGCUGGACAGCAACUGACGGUGAGGCGCGAAAGCGUGGGGAUCAAACAGGAUUAGAUACCCCAGUAGUC